GAUGAAGAACGCAGCGAAAUGCGAUAAGUAGUGUGAAUUGCAGAAUUCAGUGAAUCAUCGAAUCUUUGAACGCACAUUGCGCCCCUUGGUAUUCCAUGGGGCAUGCCUUUUCGAGCGUCAUUUGUACCUUCAAGCUUUGCUUGGUGUUGGGUGUUUGUCCCGAGGGACUCGCCUUAAAGUAAUUGGCAGCCAGUGUUUGGUUUUGAAGCGCAGCACAAGUCGCGAUUCAAGGCUACACGCCCGCUUCCACAAGCCUUUUUUCACUUUUGACCUCGGAUCAGGUAGGGAUACCCGCUGAACUUAAGCAUAUCAAUAAGCGGAGGA
rnacentral:misc_RNA from 1 species